rnacentral:lncRNA from 1 species
GGGAUUGAAUCCAUCAGAUAAAAGAGCCAAUCUCAAGUUUCUCGGCUCAUUACCAAACUCAGGCCAUUUAUCAUCAAGAAGUUUCCAAGACGAGGAAUCCGCCGGAUGAGACAUCUGACCGUCAAUUGAUUUUCUAGCAGCAUGCCACCAAGUCAAACUCUUAGCUGUCUCAUGUGAUUGAAACAUCCUUUUAAACCUUGGAAUUGGAGGAAAAUACCACACCACCUUCGCUGGCACACCCUCUUUCAAGAUUG